UGGAGGGAGUUGCAGGUGGUCCAGUGGUUAGGACUACGUGCUUUCACCGCCAAGGGUGUCGGUACAAUCCCUGGUCAGGGAACUAA